rnacentral:rRNA from 1 species
GCUGGCGGCGUGCCUAUCAUGCAAGUGAGCGAAUGGAUUAAGAGCUUGCUCUUAUGAAGUUAGCGGCGGACGGGUGAGUAACACGUGGGUAACCUGCCCAUAAGACUGGGAUAACUCCGGGAAACCGGGGCUAAUACCGGAUAACAUUUUGAACCGCAUGGUUCGAAAUUGAAAGGCGGCUUCGGCUGUCACUUAUGGAUGGACCCGCGUCGCAUUAGCUAGUUGGUGAGGUAACGGCUCACCAAGGCAACGAUGCGUAGCCGACCUGAGAGGGUGAUCGGCCACACUGGGACUGAGACACGGCCCAGACUCCUACGGGAGGCAGCAGUAGGGAAUCUUCCGCAAUGGACGAAAGUCUGACGGAGCAACGCCGCGUGAGUGAUGAAGGCUUUCGGGUCGUAAAACUCUGUUGUUAGGGAAGAACAAGUGCUAGUUGAAUAAGCUGGCACCUUGACGGUACCUAACCAGAAAGCCACGGCUAACUACGUGCCAGCAGCCGCGGUAAUACGUAGGUGGCAAGCGUUAUCCGGAAUUAUUGGGCGUAAAGCGCGCGCAGGUGGUUUCUUAAGUCUGAUGUGAAAGCCCACGGCUCAACCGUGGAGGGUCAUUGGAAACUGGGAGACUUGAGUGCAGAAGAGGAAAGUGGAAUUCCAUGUGUAGCGGUGAAAAUGCGUAGAGAUAUGGAGGAACACCAGUGGCGAAGGCGACUUUCU